rnacentral:rRNA from 1 species
GGGCCAGGGCGGCUGCUACCAUGCAGUCGAACGGUGAAGCCAAGCUUGCUUGGUGGAUCAGUGGCGAACGGGUGAGUAACACGUGAGCAACCUGCCCUGGACUCUGGGAUAAGCGCUGGAAACGGCGUCUAAUACUGGAUAUGAGCUCUCAUCGCAUGGUGGGGGUUGGAAAGAUUUUUCGGUCUGGGAUGGGCUCGCGGCCUAUCAGCUUGUUGGUGAGGUAAUGGCUCACCAAGGCGUCGACGGGUAGCCGGCCUGAGAGGGUGACCGGCCACACUGGGACUGAGACACGGCCCAGACUCCUACGGGAGGCAGCAGUGGGGAAUAUUGCACAAUGGGCGGAAGCCUGAUGCAGCAACGCCGCGUGAGGGAUGACGGCCUUCGGGUUGUAAACCUCUUUUAGCAGGGAAGAAGCGAGAGUGACGGUACCUGCAGAAAAAGCGCCGGCUAACUACGUGCCAGCAGCCGCGGUAAUACGUAGGGCGCAAGCGUUAUCCGGAAUUAUUGGGCGUAAAGAGCUCGUAGGCGGUUUGUCGCGUCUGCUGUGAAAUCCCGAGGCUCAACCUCGGGCCUGCAGUGGGUACGGGCAGACUAGAGUGCGGUAGGGGAGAUUGGAAUUCCUGGUGUAGCGGUGGAAUGCGCAGAUAUCAGGAGGAACACCGAUGGCGAAGGCAGAUCUCUGGGCCGUAACUGACGCUGAGGAGCGAAAGGGUGGGGAGCAAACAGGCUUAGAUACCCUGGUAGUCCACCCCGUAAACGUUGGGAACUAGUUGUGGGGACCAUUCCACGGUUUCCGUGACGCAGCUAACGCAUUAAGUUCCCCGCCUGGGGAGUACGGCCGCAAGGCUAAAACUCAAAGGAAUUGACGGGGACCCGCACAAGCGGCGGAGCAUGCGGAUUAAUUCGAUGCAACGCGAAGAACCUUACCAAGGCUUGACAUACACCAGAACACCGUAGAAAUACGGGACUCUUUGGACACUGGUGAACAGGUGGUGCAUGGUUGUCGUCAGCUCGUGUCGUGAGAUGUUGGGUUAAGUCCCGCAACGAGCGCAACCCUCGUUCUAUGUUGCCAGCACGUAAUGGUGGGAACUCAUGGGAUACUGCCGGGGUCAACUCGGAGGAAGGUGGGGAUGACGUCAAAUCAUCAUGCCCCUUAUGUCUUGGGCUUCACGCAUGCUACAAUGGCCGGUACAAAGGGCUGCAAUACCGUGAGGUGGAGCGAAUCCCAAAAAGCCGGUCCCAGUUCGGAUUGAGGUCUGCAACUCGACCUCAUGAAGUCGGAGUCGCUAGUAAUCGCAGAUCAGCAACGCUGCGGUGAAUACGUUCCCGGGUCUUGUACACACCGCCCGUCAAGUCAUGAAAGUCGGUAACACCUGAAGCCGGUGGCCCAACCCUUGUGGAGGAGCCGUCGAAGGGGAUUAUU